GUGGUCUCUUGCUUCCCAGUACCUUGGAGUGUCAUAGGAGUUAUGCAGACCUUCGGUAGCACACUUGUGAAGUGGCAAGAGCCGUGGAAGGAGGCAGUGCGUAGACAGAGUGGCUCACAGCAGAUGCAGCAGUAUAUUGAACUCUCUUCGAGUCAUAUCGCAUUGGAAGCCACAAGGAAGGCAGGCAGCAGCAGCAGCACAGCUUAAACUUGGUGUGAAGUGGCCCCCUUCCACGAACCCUCAAAGUUGAAUACAGACCCACAUUCCACAGGAAGCUUGUUGAAAAUUCGCACGCCCCGGUGAGACACCUCCAAGGGCUGGCGCACUGUGCCGCCUCUGCCAAGGAUGGGGAACGCAUUUUAAAUGGCUCCACCCGGCCAUCCCGAAAGCAGCAAGGCAAGAGCAACACCAUGGGGGUAGCGUGGGCCUCUCUGACAGCACGAAGGCUGGUUCUCUGUGCGCCCCCCAAGCAAGCUCCACUAUUUAUGCAGCGCUGAAAUCAAUGCUGUUCUUUGCAGCGUCAUAUAAAACAGAGCUGGUUCCCCUGUGAAGAAAAUGGCCUUUUCCUUCCCUCUGUCUGCUCGACUCCACUGCUGGAAGAGGGCACCGUCUCACUGUUCCAGAAGGCUUAGGCUGAAGUUUAACUUCACUGUCAACAUCCCGAGGGGUGGCAUUUAUUUUCAGUGUUCAUGCUGAAUUAGGAAAGAAUGUGAAACUAAUCAGAGCCAAUUAAAGCUUCCACCCUGAA